rnacentral:rRNA from 1 species
GAUGAACGCUGGCGGCGUGCUUAACACAUGCAAGUCGAACGAAGGCUUUACGACAGAACUCUUCGGAGGGAAGAUGGAAAGACUUAGUGGCGGACGGGUGAGUAACGCGUGGGUAACCUGCCCCAUACAGGGGAAUAACAGCCGGAAACGGCUGCUAAUGCCGCAUAAGCGCAUAGAGCCGCAUGGCACGGGGGGAAAAGCUCCGGCAGUAUGGGAUGGGCCCGCGUCUGAUUAGCUGGUUGGUAAGGUAACGGCUUACCAAGGCGACGAUCAGUAGCCGGCUUGAGAGAGUGGACGGCCACAUUGGGACUGAGACACGGCCCAAACUCCUACGGGAGGCAGCAGUGGGGAAUAUUGCACAAUGGGGGAAACCCUGAUGCAGCGACGCCGCGUGAAGGAAGAAGUAUUUCGGUAUGUAAACUUCUAUCAGCAGGGAAGAAGAAAGACGGUACCUGACUAAGAAGCUCCGGCUAAAUACGUGCCAGCAGCCGCCGUAAUAC